rnacentral:tRNA from 1 species
GCGGAAAUAGUUUAAUCGGUAAAGCAUGACUUUGCCAAAGUCAUUAUAAGGGUUCAAGUCCCUUUUUUCGCU